UUUUUAUGGAGAGUUUGAUCCUGGCUCAGGAUGAACGCUGGCGGCGUGCCUAAUACAUGCAAGUCGAGCGAACGGACGAGAAGCUUGCUUCUCUGAUGUUAGCGGCGGACGGGUGAGUAACACGUGGAUAACCUACCUAUAAGACUGGGAUAACUUCGGGAAACCGGAGCUAAUACCGGAUAAUAUUUUGAACCGCAUGGUUCAAAAGUGAAAGACGGUCUUGCUGUCACUUAUAGAUGGAUCCGCGCUGCAUUAGCUAGUUGGUAAGGUAACGGCUUACCAAGGCAACGAUGCAUAGCCGACCUGAGAGGGUGAUCGGCCACACUGGAACUGAGACACGGUCCAGACUCCUACGGGAGGCAGCAGUAGGGAAUCUUCCGCAAUGGGCGAAAGCCUGACGGAGCAACGCCGCGUGAGUGAUGAAGGUCUUCGGAUCGUAAAACUCUGUUAUUAGGGAAGAACAUAUGUGUAAGUAACUGUGCACAUCUUGACGGUACCUAAUCAGAAAGCCACGGCUAACUACGUGCCAGCAGCCGCGGUAAUACGUAGGUGGCAAGCGUUAUCCGGAAUUAUUGGGCGUAAAGCGCGCGUAGGCGGUUUUUUAAGUCUGAUGUGAAAGCCCACGGCUCAACCGUGGAGGGUCAUUGGAAACUGGAAAACUUGAGU
rnacentral:rRNA from 1 species